CCCCUAGUAACUGCGAGUGAAGCGGGAAAAGCUCAAAUUUAAAAUCUGGUAGUCCUUGUGGCUGCCCGAGUUGUAAUCUAGAGAAGUGUUAUCCGCGCUGGACCGUGUACAAGUCUCCUGGAACGGAGCGUCAUAGAGGGUGAGAAUCCCGUCUUUGACACGGACUACCAGGGCUUUGUGAUGCGCUCUCAAAGAGUCGAGUUGUUUGGGAAUGCAGCUCUAAAUGGGUGGUAAAUUCCAUCUAAAGCUAAAUAUUGGCGAGAGACCGAUAGCGAACAAGUACCGUGAGGGAAAGAUGAAAAGAACUUUGGAAAGAGAGUUAAACAGUACGUGAAAUUGUUGAAAGGGAAACGCUUGAAGUCAGUCGCGUUGGCCGGGGAUCAACCUUGCUUUUUUGCUUGGCGUACUUUCCGGUUGACGGGUCAGCAUCAAUUUUGACCGAUGGAUAAAGGUUAGGGGAAUGUGGCAUCUUCGGAUGUGUUAUAGCCCUUGGUCGCAUGCAUCGGUUGGGAUUGAGGAACUCAGCACGCCGCAAGGCCGGGUUUUUAACCACGUACGUGCUUAGGAUGCUGGCAUAAUGGCUUUAAUCGACCCGUCUUGAAACACGGACCAAGGAGUCUAACAUGCCUGCGAGUGUUUGGGUGGAAAACCCGGACGCGUAAUGAAAGUGAAAGUUGAGAUCCCUGUCGCGGGGAGCAUCGACGCCCGGAUCAGACCUUUUGUGACGAUCCCGCGGUAGAGCAUGUAUGUUGGGACCCGAAAGAUGGUGAACUAUGCCUGAAUAGGGUGAAGCCAGAGGAAACUCUGGUGGAGGCUCGUAGCGAUUCUGACGUGCAAAUCGAUCGUCGAAUUUGGGUAAUAGGGC
rnacentral:rRNA from 1 species